GAGAGAGAUAGAGAGAGCCACGCCGUGCUCUCUUGGCAUUCACGUUCGUCGGUGAUCGACGUGGCGCGCACAUUUCUAUUGCAUUUUGUUGAUAUGUACACUCGUAGAGUUCUUGUAUGUAUUGGUAUUGGUGAUUCUGUUUAGUUUUGGAUUAGAUUAGUUUAGGCGCCACUACUUGCUCUCAGACGGACAAACGUCGCUCGCUGUCAGGCCCUCGAGACAUGAUCAGAUCGCAUUAGAACAGCCGCUCAAUCCCAACCCAUCCGACUUUUCGGACUUCGUUUCUUGUCACAGCUGUUCAUCUUAAUUUUAACCUUUUCAUUAUUAACGUGGACAUCAAUUGUCCAACUGACUAGCGUCUUGCGCUCGUAAAAUUAUAUUUAAAUACCAACACAUACACGUUUCCGUGUUAAGUUUAAGAGAAAAUGGAAGCCAUUGGACCAUUGUCAACCCACAUGAUAUUUAUCGUACCCUCAUCAAAACUAGGCGAGGCAACGGAAACCCCUGGAAUUUUAAUGCAACCCACUCUACACAAAAAUGCAGACUGGUUUUGGAACUGGGUCCUCUUAUCGCUGAGUUUUUGGGCACCUUCUAUGGCAAAGAAAGUGUAUCUGAGUGUGUUUAUCUUUGGUCUUGCUGCCUGUGUUAGUGUGUGUGUGCGCGUGGUGUGCGUGCCCCGAUAACAUUCGCUCAUGGCGGUCUUAUAGUUGUUGAAUGCUCUCUCACAAUGAAUGAUAUCCACCCCAACCUCAAAGUGAGUUGCAUGAUUAUGCACCUACAUAUGGAUAUGAAGGGUUUUCACGCUUAUUGUCUUUCGAGCGUUAAAAAGUCUCAUUUUGCAGCGUCCCACUUGGUGUAGUGGUUCCCUUAAAGGGGGGUCUUCUGGAUAGGUAUGUACAUACAUAUAUAUGCACAUAAGUUGAGGAGGAAGAGCCGGAUGGCUAGGUGAAAGCCGGUUUCUCAUAGAUCUCAUCCCUGCAUGAACAAAAAGUAGUUACUCGAGUGGUUCGCUGCACUGAGUUGGCUAGAGUCUCUGAAGAGUCUGAGAGCUCUCCAUUUGCUCUCCCGUUUUCCUUCGCCACUGUUUUUCGAAAUUUCCAUUCCUGUCUUCACCAUUAUUCAUGGUUGGCAUCGUUCCUCCCCUUGCAUCGCGUACUGCACUGCUCGAUAUCUUCUCUUCCCUCUUUGGAUGCACACUCGAAUUUGCUUGCAUUGCGUGGGCCUUGCUUUUGGACCUUUGGCAAAUCUAGUAGCUGCUUCUCCAUGCAUACAUACAUACAUAUGUACAUAAAUAUAGUUCGUUGCUUUCGAGGGGAUUGGAGCGGAUGUGCUUUGCUCGGUGGACAAUUUACAAAAUUUGAAUUUAUGAACUGCAGUCUUGUCUGCGCCCUUUCACUUCUCCUUUUCACUAUCUUGUCUUAGCCAUUCGUAUAUGUAUGUACAUAUAUAGGGAAGCAUAUACAUACAUGUAUA